UACGUAGGAGGCGAGCGUUGUCCGGAAUUACUGGGCGUAAAGUGUGCGCAGGCGGCCGCGCAAGUCGAGUGUGAAAUCCCCGAGCUUAACUUGGGAAUUGCGCUCGAAACUACGUGGCUGGAGUGUGGCAGAGGAAGGUGGAAUUCCACGUGUAGCGGUGAAAUGCGUAGAGAUGUGGAGGAACACCGAUGGCGAAGGCAGCCUUCUGGGCCAACACUGACGCUCAUGCACGAAAGCGUGGGGAGCAAACGGG
rnacentral:rRNA from 1 species